rnacentral:rRNA from 1 species
CGGACGGGUGAGUAAUGUCUGGGAAACUGCCGAUGGAGGGGGAUAACUACUGGAAACGGUAGCUAAUACCGCAUAACGUCGCAAGACCAAAGAGGGGGACCUUAGGGCCUCUUGCCAUCGGAUGUGCCCAGAUGGGAUUAGCUAGUAGGUGGGGUAAUGGCUCACCUAGGCGACGAUCCCUAGCUGGUCUGAGAGGAUGACCAGCCACACUGGAACUGAGACACGGUCCAG